CAAACGACUCUCGGCAACGGAUAUCUCGGCUCACGCAUCGAUGAAGAACGUAGCAAAAUGCGAUACUUGGUGUGAAUUGCAGAAUCCCGUGAACCAUCGAGUUUUUGAACGCAAGUUGCGCCCGAAGCCAUUUGGUCGAGGGCACGUCUGCCUGGGCGUCACG
rnacentral:rRNA from 1 species